CUUGGUCAUUUAGAGGAAGUAAAAGUCGUAACAAGGUUUCCGUAGGUGAACCUGCGGAAGGAUCAUUACCGAGUGUAGGGUUCCUAGCGAGCCCAACCUCCCACCCGUGUUUACUGUACCUUAGUUGCUUCGGCGGGCCCGCCAUUCAUGGCCGCCGGGGGCUCUCAGCCCCGGGCCCGCGCCCGCCGGAGACACCACGAACUCUGUCUGAUCUAGUGAAGUCUGAGUUGAUUGUAUCGCAAUCAGUUAAAACUUUCAACAAUGGAUCUCUUGGUUCCGGCAUCGAUGAAGAACGCAGCGAAAUGCGAUAACUAGUGUGAAUUGCAGAAUUCCGUGAAUCAUCGAGUCUUUGAACGCACAUUGCGCCCCCUGGUAUUCCGGGGGGCAUGCCUGUCCGAGCGUCAUUGCUGCCCAUCAAGCACGGCUUGUGUGUUGGGUCGUCGUCCCCUCUCCGGGGGGGACGGGCCCCAAAGGCAGCGGCGGCACCGCGUCCGAUCCUCGAGCGUAUGGGGCUUUGUCACCCGCUCUGUAGGCCCGGCCGGCGCUUGCCGAACGCAAAUCAAUCUUUUUCCAGGUUGACCUCGGAUCAGGUAGGGAUACCCGCUGAACUUAAGCAUAUCAAUAAGCGGAGGA
rnacentral:rRNA from 1 species